GCGCGAUUGGCGCAGUGGUAGCGCGCUUCGUUCACACCGAAGAGGUCACUGGUUCGAACCCAGUAUCGCGCACAA
rnacentral:tRNA from 7 species